AUCCGAUAAAUUAGUGAGAGUCAUUAUUUACAUCUUAAAAUUUUUAGAAGUAAAUCAAACAUUAAGUAUAAAAGUCUAACUUGAAUCUCUACUCUCGCAGUUAAACCAUAAUGUCAGCCUCAAACCCUCUAGCCCGCAUCUUUGAAACCAAUCAUUUGACCGAUACCAAUUACAAAGACUGGCUUAAAAAUCUCAGGAUUGUCCUGACCUCAGAAAAAUUAGUCAUGUUCUCGACC
rnacentral:lncRNA from 1 species